rnacentral:SRP_RNA from 13 species
GCUGGGCAUGGUGGCGCGUGCCUGUAAUCCCAGCUACUUAGGAGGCUGAGGCAGGAGAAUUGCCUGAACCCAGGAGGCGGAGGUUGCGGUGAGCCGAGAUCGCGCCAUUGCACUCCAGCCUGGGUAACAAGAGCGAAACUCCGUCUCAAAAAAAAAAAAAAAAAAAAAAAAAAAAUUUUUUUUUGAGACAGUCUCGCUCUGUUGCCAGGCUGAAGUGCAGUGGCGUGAUCUCGGCUCACUGCAACCUCUGCCUCCUGGAUUGAAGCGAUUCUCCCACUU